AUUGAACGCUGGCGGCAGGCCUAACACAUGCAAGUCGAGCGGAGCGGCGGACGGGUGAGUAAUGCAUAGGAAUCUGCCUGGUAGCGGGGGAUAACGUCCGGAAACGGGCGCUAAUCCCGCAUCCUAUCAGCUGAGGCUAGGUCGGAUUAGCUAUUUGGGGGGGUAAAGGACUACCAAGGCGACGAUCCGUAGCUGGUCUGAGAGGAUGAUCAGUCACACUGGAACUGUGACACGGUCCAGACUCCUACGGGAGGCAGCAGUGGGGAAUCUUGGACAAUGGGCGAAAGCCUGAUCCAGCCAUGCCGCGUGUGUGAAGAAGGUCUUCGGAUUGUAAAGCACUUUAAGUUGGGAAGCGUUACCAACAGAAUAAGCACCGGCUAACUUCGUGCCAGCAGCCGCGGUAAUAC
rnacentral:rRNA from 1 species